GUAGCCUGAAAGUAUACUGGCGCGAUCCGGAAUUCCGCAUGUUCAUCGGCGUACAGUUGACGCUGGUGGUAAUCUGCACGCUGGUACUGUGGUUCCAUAAUAUCUACGACUCGGCGCUGACAACGCUAAAUCAGGCAUUCUUCCAGGUUGUGUCGAUGGCGACAACGGCAGGGUUUACCACGGACAGUAUUGCGCGCUGGCCGCUGUUUUUGCCCGUCUUGCUGCUAUGUUCCGCGUUUAUUGGCGGUUGCGCCGGGUCAACGGGCGGGGGGUUAAAGGUCAUCCGUAUUCUGUUGUUGUUUAAACAGGGGAACCGCGAACUCAAACGUCUGGUGCAUCCGAAUGCCGUUUACAGUAUUAAGCUGGGGAACCGGGCGCUGCCAGAACGCAUUCUGGAAGCCGUCUGGGGAUUCUUUUCUGCCUACGCGCUGGUAUUUAUCGUCAGUAUGCUGGCUAUUAUCGCUACAGGCGUAGAUGAUUUCUCGGCUUUCGCCUCGGUAGUGGCUACGCUUAAUAACCUGGGACCGGGGCUGGGGGUGGUUGCUGAUAACUUCGCCAGUAUGAAUCCGGUUGCGAAAUGGAUACUCAUCGCCAACAUGCUAUUUGGUCGUCUGGAAGUAUUCACUUUGCUGGUACUUUUUACCCCGACUUUCUGGCGUGAAUAAUGGAGUAACACGUGAAAACAUUGAUUCUUUUCUCUACCCGGGACGGACAAACGCGCGAAAUUGCCUCUUAUCUGGCUUCUGAACUCAAAGAGAUGGGGAUCUGGGCCGAUGUCGUUAAUCUGCAUCGCGCAGAAGAGCCGGACUGGGAUAGCUAUGAUCGCGUAGUGAUUGGCGCGUCUAUUCGUUAUGGUCAUUACCACAGCGCCUUUCAGGAGUUCGUUAAGAAAUACGCCACGCGGUUGAACGGAAUGCCGAGUGCCUUUUAUUCCGUUAACCUGGUGGCGCGUAAAGCUGAAAAACGGACGCCGCAGACUAACAGCUACGCGCGUAAGUUUUUAAUGAGCUCUCCGUGGCGACCUGACUACUGUGCCGUCAUUGCAGGCGCGCUUCGCUAUCCCCGCUAUCGCUGGUAUGACCGUCUGAUGAUCAAGCUUAUUAUGAAGAUGUCGGGCGGCGAAACGGAUACCAGUAAAGAGGUGGUGUACACCGACUGGGAGCAGGUUACGCACUUUGCCCGUGAAAUAGCCCAUUUAACCAACAAAUCGUCGGCAAAAUAAACGCAAAGAAUAAAAAGUGCGCACUCAGAAAAUUAUUUUAAAUUUCCUCUUGUCAGGCAGAAAUAACUCCCUAUAAUGCGCCACCACUGACACGGAACAACGGCAUACAGGCCGCCGGGU
rnacentral:rRNA from 1 species